rnacentral:tRNA from 1 species
GCUUGAAUAGUUUAAUUAAAACUCUGAUUUGUGGUGUCAGUAAUGUAGUUUUUACUUCAGGUU